rnacentral:lncRNA from 1 species
GGCUUCGAAUCCUCCUCUUACCAGAGAGCUGUCCGGGUCUGGAGCCCGAGACCCAAAGCAACCCCUGGGGGGCGCCCCCAACCCUUGGGGACGCUCCUCCUCCGGCUGCCCCCUUUCCUUUGAAUCCAGGUAUCUCUGGGUGAGGGGGGUGCGGGUAGGAGCUCGGAUUUCUGCUUUGGGAAGUUUUUACAAGCUGUUACGCAUCCUCCCACCCCACCCCCCCCGCGCCUUGAGUCCCUGAGCCAAGAAUUUCAGAAAUCCAGGGCACAAAAAAGCCAGUAUUUGCGGUCAAGGAUUAAAGGCGCGAGGUUGUCUUUAUUUAAUCUGCUCCAUCCUGCUCGGGUUUGCAUAGAAAACGAACUCUGGCAGGGAUGAUCUACGCAGGAGGGGACAUAGGCAAGUAGCUCGAGAGACCCCGAGCCGCGUUCGCCCCACAGGAGAUGAAGAAACGCUAGCCUCUCCGGUGCACAAAAAUAAAGGAGCCGAGUUGUGACUCGCCGGCGCGGAGAUUGGGAGGCAGAAAGUAAAUACAAACCGCGACCUAGGUCCUGACCCUUGCUUCAAGCAGCCCCUCUGCUCCCCGGAGCUGUAAAUGCUUAAGUAAAUAAACCGCAAGCCAGAAAAAUUAGGGCUUCGGAGACAGCUGCUGGCACGAUGUUGCGCGUUCAGGCGGGGCGCCCUCCGGCAGCCCCCGAUAACGGCGGCUGGGAUGAGAUGGGUUGCUGCCCCCUGCUAAAAUGUGCCUGGGCUCUUGGGCUGCAUGCUGUUUGGCUUUUGGAAGGAGGGCAAGGGCUAAGCAAAGAGGCAAAGUCAGUCGGCUGCUCUCCCUUCCUGAGAUGAUAGGCAUUCCUUACACAAACGUUUCCUGAAUGUCUUCUGGGUGCCAGGCACUGUGCCAGGCGCUGGGGCAUAGUGGUAAGCCUAAACACACCACAGCAUCCCAGAUAAGCACUGCCUGCCGUCCCACAUGGUGGCUAUAACAACAAUAGUAAUAAUAAUAGUUUGAGAGGCAGAUUUUACCGAACCCAGACCACAUGCACUUUUCAUGCAUCAUGCUAUUGAGUUUUAACAACCAUGGGCAUAUUAUCUCUAUUUGAUAGAUGGACGCCUAAAGGCUCAGAGAAAUCAGGUAAUUUCCCAAGAUGACACCGUAUAUUAAGUAGCGCAGCCUGGAUUCCAAUUCCAGCCUUAGUUCUUGUACUAAGUCCUUGUCUUUGGGGAAAUCCAUCACCACUGCCUUAAAUGGCCUCCUUCCCCAUUUUAGGAGCAGCCUCUGAGCCUUUGGGCAAGUUAUGUUCAUCUCGUUGCCCCAGUUUUGCCAUCUUGGAGAAAGUCAUUAGAACUUUGCCAACUUUGUAUCAGGAUUGCUUGACAGAAUUAAUGGUCUUAUGAAACUUGAGGAACAAAUUAGGGGAGCACCAGAACUAACAAUUAUUAUUCAUAAAAUAAUGCCAAAACUAAUAAUAAUUACUGACAUUUAUUGAGUACAUGGCAUGUGCCAGGCAUUAUUCUAAGCUCUUUGUGUGCAUUUUCUCAUCAAAUCCUAUUAACAAUUGUUUUUUAUUUAUGGGCAAACUGAGCCACAGAGAAUUUAAGCAAAGUCCUCCAAAUCACAUAGGUGAUGGGCUGUCUGACUCCAGAACCCUAGACAUUAACUACUAUCCUCCGCAGCCUCCCCAAUGAAAACAUAUGCAUUCAAGGCAUCUGCUCAUAUAAGCAUUUAAUACCAGCCCAGGAAUGGGCAAUGCUCAGAGCAGACAAAGUUUAUGUUCAUUGUAUUUACUCUUGCCUCUCCUCCCUUUCAGCAGUAGCCCUUUGUUACUGGGCACUAGAGCGUCAUGUUUAAUGCCUGAAGCUAGCACUCCCUAUCAUCAAGAAAUACCCGCAUCUUGUCACAACAAAAAGGUCCACACCUUUCCCAUCUGUCCCCUUUCUUCUUUUCCCCUAUGAAAACAAUUUGUUCUGUUUCUAAAGGGGUUUUGGCUCUACUUUUUCAAACAAAUUCAAUGAAUCACUCAUUAGUAUUAAAACUGGUAAAUGCUAAAGGGUAAUUAUUUCAGGUGCUUCUAACAGAAACAAUGGAAUUUUUUUAAGCUUAUUUACCUAUUUUGAGAGAGACAGAGACAACACAAAUGGGGGAGGAGCAGAGAGAGAGAGAGAGAGAGAGAGAGAGAGAGAAUCCCAAGCAGGCUUCACACUGCCGGUGCAGAGCCUGACACAGGGCUUGCACUCACGAAACUGCAAGAUCAUGACCAGAGCCAAAAUCAAGAGUUGGACGCUCAACUGACUGAGCCACCCAGUCACUCCAGAAACAGUGGAAUUUUAAUGUGGGUUUUCUAAAGAAAAUGUGGUCUUGUUUGAGAGCCAGUUACAUGGACACUUGACCCUUAACUGCUUUAUCCAGUCUUCCCUCCUAGACCACAACUUUCACUGAAGACAGGGAUCCUAUUUUAUUCGUACUUGUAUUCCCUCCUCCCCUACCCAGCAGGCCUAGUUCUCUGCACAUUUUAGUAGAU